GUCUGACCUGAGGAGCUCCCUGUCUCUUCAAAGUCGAUGUUGCCCAGAUGCAGGACGCCAGCAACCACCCUGAACAGGUCCAGCUUCUCUGUGUCGUCCAGCCCGAUCUUCUUCAUGGCCCCGCACAUCCUGUUGAAGUCCCCCUGAUCGUCAAGAAGAGGGUCCUUCAGAGCACCCACCUUCAGAUGCUACAAACCGAACGAAAGGGGAUCUUGUAAGAGAGGAUUUUCCACUUGCACGACUGAACGGAGUAGUGAGGACAACACUACCCCAGGUGACCUGACAUCGAGGGCACAGCCAAACAAUCCCGCUUGGAUCAUCUCUCGUGCGGCCUCUGAGAUAAAGAAGUUCAACAGGUACAUCGACUCAUGCUUUAAGAUCCAACUUAGAAGGAAAGUGGGGACAGUCAACCUGUAGUGACCUCUCUCAAUAGCUUUUGUGUCUUUCUUCAGGACCUAGAUCUGUUGAGAAGAAACUGGACGACUUUUUGAAUAUCUGAGUGGUUUGUGUCGCAUCAUAACGUUUUUCCAAGAUUAGUUAACCAUUUAUUUCUUGCUGAACAAAAGAGAGUUCAUUGCAUGUUGGUGAUUACCGUAAUAAGGCAGACUUUUACUGCUUCAUUAUCAAGCACACAUCGUGCCAGGUUUAUACACCCACAGUACAUCUGUUUUUUUUUUAUCAAU